rnacentral:rRNA from 1 species
AGAGUUUGAUCCUGGCUCAGAUUGAACGCUGGCGGAAUGCUUUACACAUGCAAGUCGAACGGCAGCACGGGUGCUUGCACCUGGUGGCGAGUGGCGAACGGGUGAGUAAUACGUAGGAACAUGUCCUGUAAUGGGGGAUAACGCACCGAAAGKUGUGCUAAUACCGCAUACGCCCUGAGGGGGAAAGUGGGGGAUCGCAAGACCUCACGUUAUUCGAGCGGCCGACGUCUGAUUAGCUUGUUGGUGGGGUAAUGGCCUACCAAGGCGACGAUCAGUAGCGGGUCUGAGAGGAUGAUCCGCCACACUGGAACUGAGACACGGUCCAGACUCCUACGGGAGGCAGCAGUGGGGAAUUUUGGACAAUGGGGGCAACCCUGAUCCAGCCAUUCCGCGUGAGUGAAGAAGGCCUUCGGGUUGUAAAGCUCUUUCAGCCGGAACGAAACGGUAUGUCUUAAUACGAUGUGCUAAUGACGGUACCGGCAGAAGAAGCACCGGCUAACUACGUGCCAGCAGCCGCGGUAAUAC